GUGAGUAACGCGUGAGAAUCUGCCUUGAGGAGGGGGAUAACCACUGGAAACGGUGGCUAAUACCCCAUAUGCCUCCGGGUGAAAAGUUAUUCGCCUGAAGAUGAGCUCGCGUCUGAUUAGCUAGUUGGUGGGGUAAGAGCCUACCAAGGCGACGAUCUGUAGCUGGUCUGAUAGGAUGAUCAGCCACACUGGGACUGAGACACGGCCCAGACUCCUACGGGAGGCAGCAGUGGGGAAUUUUCCGCAAUGGGCGCAAGCCUGACGGAGCAAGACCGCGUGGGGGAUGGCGGCUCUAGGGUUGUAAACCUCUUUUCUCUGGGAAGAAGAUUGAACGUACCCUAAGAAUCCGCCUCCGCUAACUNCGUGCCAGCAGCCGCGGUAAUACGGAGGAGGCAAGCGUAUCCGGGAAUUAUUGGGCGUAAAGCGUCCGUAGGUGGUUAUUCAAGUCUGCUGUCAAAGCGUGGGGCUUAACUCCAUAGAGGCAGUGGAAACUGAAUAACUAGAGUGCGGUAGGGGUCGAGGGAAUUCCCAGUGUAGCGGUGAAAUGCGUAGAUAUUGGGAAGAACAUCAGUGGCGAAAGCGCUCGACUGGACGUCCACUGACACUGAGGGACGAAAGCUAGGGGAGCGAAAGGGAUUAGAUACCCCUGUAGUCCUAGCUGUAAACGAUGGAUACUAGGUGUUGCUUGU
rnacentral:rRNA from 1 species